rnacentral:lncRNA from 1 species
GCUGCUUCCUCCAGACAUCAUAGAGACAUCGAUGGCUCGCAGGAAAUUGAAAUGCACUUUAAUUAGGUCCUCCAAAUUGAUGAAGAUCGCUUCCAUGUCUUGCGGGGUCAGUACCAGCUUCAGUGGGUUCAUAUAGUUCUUCUCUAUGUCUUCAAGUGUUUUGUAGUAUUUGGCCUCCGUCUCCUGGAUUUCUAGCAAACAGCAAUUCCUUUUGUCAUCUUCUGUCAUGCCCAUUUUCAUGGGCUGCUGAACUUCCACCCGGAUGAUAUCUUCGUAGAUAUCAUCGCCUUCAUCUUCACAGGGGACGCAGUCAUAAAUAUCCUCCCCCAGAUCGUGCUCAUCAGCCAACUCCUCCA